rnacentral:tRNA from 1 species
GAUGCAGUGGUGAAGUGGUUAACACUGCGGUCUGCAAAACCGCCAUUCGCGGGUUCAAAUCCCGCCUGCAUCU